UAAGUCAGUAUAGGAUAUUUGUAAGUUGUUUUAAGUUAUUUUACUUCGUAUUACGUAUUUUUAUUCCAACCUAAAGGUAGCAACAGCGGCAACUGUUUUAAUAUUAAUGAAGGUAGUUAUACAAUGAUAUAUUUAUAAACAGAGCCAGAAAAUAUCACACGUAUCCAACUAAUGAGCAGCGCUGAUAUUGCUGUUCCUCGUCCAAAAGUCACAUUUAGCCUUUUGACACGAAGCAAAAACAUCACAUUGCUACUAGUAUUGUAGAGCUCAUAGCAAGGUAUAACCUGUUACCUGUUACCUAGUCUUUAUCUUCCUCCUCUAGCAGGAGCUUCGCUUCUAAUAUAAAAAAGAAGAUGUGGUAUGAUUGCCAAUGAGACAACUGUCCAUAAGAGACCAAAAUGACACAGUCAUUAAGAACUAUAGGUCACCGUACGGCCUUCAACAAUGAACAAACCAGAUUUCACUCCUUGUUCCAUUGUUCAUUACAAAUGUCCGAUAUUCACGUUAAGGUCACUCCGAAUUGAUUCAAUCAGUGGAUGUAUUUCGGAUUUGCUUGCUGAAAUGUUCAUCUUAGAUCAACGUCAGAAGAACAAGCAAUUCAAUUCGGAGUGGCCUAUCAUAAAUAAUGUCUAUCCGAAUGACCCUUUAGAGAGUGGCCUAUCAUAAAUAAUAAAUGUCUAUCCGAAUGACCCUUUAGAGAGUGGCCUAUCAUAAAUAAUAAAUGUCUAUCCGAAUGACCCUUUAGAGAGAAAAUGAAUGUCGAAGUGUGUGAUGUGAUACUGAAAUAAUGUUUAUGUUGACAAUUAAAGUAAGCGUGAAACAAGUUCAUUAUUUAUUAGUCGUGUAUAUCUUUAAAAAUAGACCAAAGAGAAAAAUUGACCAUGUAUAUUUUUUAAGGAUGUAAAAUUUAUUUUAGUAUACCGGUAGUUGGAAGAUUGACCACAUGCAUUUUAAAUCUACCAAAAUGAAAUCCAUUAGACUAUAUGAGUGUUUGAAUACAUGUGGAACCUAAAUAUGAUAUUUUAUUUUGUGAUUAAGACGAAGUAUACGUAAUUGGGAUGAUUUUCGUUUUUUAAUGAAAUGGUACAUACAUGUAUACUAAGUUUAUAAAAUAAGGAGAUUUGGAUGGCUUAUAGAUAGAUAUAUAGACAGAUGGAUAUUUUAUUCUCUAAAAACUAAAUACAAGUUUACAGAGAAACAAACAAUAUUCUAUAUUAAAUACAAAUACAUGGAGAUAAAUGUCCAACAACCAUGUAUGCAUUUAGAAAUCAUUGAACUGCAUCUGCGUAUAGCAAAAAUAAUAUGUCGUGUAUCAUUUAUAUAUAUACUUUCAGAAAUACAAUCAAUCAAAAAAUUUAUGAAUAAACAUAAAGUAUAUUAAAAGCACCAAACGAAAUGCUUUUUAUUUUCAUUUUAGCGCCUUUAUAAGUACUGUAGGUUGACUGCUAAAGCCUAGAUACGUGAACAUCGCCUUAAUCUAUAAAAAUCAGCAUACAGUUGUUUUUGAAAUUUAAUUUGUCAAACAUUUUAUUUUGAUUUUGAGUUUUGAAAUGGACAAUCUCUGAUUAUAUUAUUUUGUUUAUACACUGCUACAUGUGUAGCCAGUGUUCUUUUGAAGGAACAUUCGAUUAUGUUAUUUUAUAAAAACACUGUUACAUGUGCAGCCAGUGUUGUUUUGAAGGAACAAUCUAUGAUUAUGUUAUUUUGUUAAAACACUGCUACGUUUGCAUAGCCAGUGUUCUGUUGAAGGAACAACAUUUGAUUAUGUUAUUUUGUAAAAAGAUUGCUACAUGUGUAGCCAGUGCUCUUCUAAAUGAAUAAUCUUUGAUAAUGUAAUGUUGUUGAUACACUGAUAAAUGUAUAACACGUGUUCUUCUAAAUGAAUAAAUAUAUAAAUUUACUUGUUUAUAAACUGCUAGCCAGUGCUCUUCUUAAUGAUCGAACGAUACGCUACUAUAGUCAGUGUUUUAAAGGAACAAUUUUUUAUAAUGUUAUUUUGUUAAUACACUGCUACAUGUGUAGUCAGUGUUUUUUUUAAAAUGAACGAUCUUUGAUAAUGGUAUUUUGUUAAUACACUGCUACAUGUGUAGCCAAUGUUCUUUUAAAUGAACGAUCUUUGAUAAUGGUAUUUUGUAAAUACACUGCUACAUGUGUAGCCAGUGUUCUUUUAAAUGAACGAUCUUUGAUAAUGGUAUUUUGUUGAUCCACUGCUACAUGUUUAGCCAGUGUUUUUAUAAAUGAACAAUCUUUGAUAAUGAUAUUUUACUGAUCCACUGCUACAUGUGUAGCCAGUGUUCUUUUAAAUGAACGAUCUUUGAUAAUGGUAUUUUGUUAAUACAUUGCUACAUGUGUAGCCAAUGUUCUUAUAAAUGAACAAUCUUUGAUAAUGGUAUUUUGUUAAUACAUUGCUACAUGUGAAGCCAACGUUCUUUUAAAUGAACGAUCUUUGAUAAUGGUAUUUUGUUAAUACAUUGCUACAUGUGAAGCCAAUGUUCUUUUAAAUGAACGAUCUUUUAUAAUGGUAUCUUGUUAAUACAUUGCUUCAUGUGAAGCCAAUGUUCUUUUAAAUUAACGAUCUUUGAUAAUGGUAUUUUGUUAAUAAAUUGCUACAUGUGUAGCCAGUGUUCUUUUAAAUGAACGAUCUUUGAUAAUGGUAUUUUGUUAAUACAUUGCUACAUGUGUAGCCAGUGUUCUUUUAAAUUAACGAUCUUUGAUAAUGGUAUUUUAAUGAUACGCUGCUGGUCAGUGUUCUGUUAAAUCGCUAUAUAGUAAUUGUUAUAGCUUACAAAUGUAUCUUUUAUAAAGAAUUCAUAUGAAAUCGAUUUUGUGUUUUAUUUGUAACAGUGCUAGUUGUUUUAGUCACAUUCAGACGUAGACUUGCUGGCUCAUGAAUUGACUAUAACUAUCAAAAUUGUUUAAUCACAAAUGUAAACAUAAGUUUAAUGGU
rnacentral:lncRNA from 1 species